rnacentral:lncRNA from 1 species
CCUACCUCUGCGAUUGCUUUUUAACAAAUGUUGCCUGUAUUUAUUUGUUUAAAUCUGCUGCAAUUCCCAACUUAUUUAACUCUAUUUCCCCUUCACACAUUCUCCUUUCCUACCAAAUGGGAAUAAAAGCCACCUCUUAAGUCUCGUGCUAUCUUGAUUUCCUCCAGAUCCCAAUGGCCACAGCUGCUCUCUUUUGUCUGGGAGCACUCUCUGUUCCUCCUCUCUACCUGACCACUUCCACCUCCAGCUUCAUGUUCUUUCCAUUACGUUGUGGAAGAUGGCCCAGCACUCUCAGGUGCUGUGCUGGAGGGAAUGGAACCCCCUGCCCUCAAGACUCUUCUAGUUACCCUAAAAGAAUUGCGAAUCACUAACACAGAAGCAGCUAAGCUUUGAAAUCUUUAUGGAAAGUUUUGCCUGACUUUUUGACAGAACAUCUGGGAAGUAACAAUAAAGGCAGCUGUUUGAGAAGGCA